GGAAUGUGAAUAAGGAGCAAAUAACAUGAUCGAAUAUCUUCGGGAUUUGAUUUCUAAAAGCAAGGCUGGUGAUAAGUAUGGAAGUUACAUCCUAGAUUUUGCUGAUGACUUCGACUAUACUGAUCCAUGGUUGUUUCAGUAUGAAGGCAAACAAGGUAGCUUGAUCUAUGAAAUUGAACUGCAACUGCAGUAUGGAAUCAAACAUAGACCCUUGAGUAAUUGGCUUUCCUUUUUUGUCUAUCUGUGACUAUAUCGACAGAAGCAAUCGAACGUGUCUACUGCUGGAAGAAUGAAGGAAAAAACUUAGAGGUCAUUUGGUAGAGUGUAUAAGAACAAUACAAAAUAUAGUGUAUUAGUAAUGCUUGCAUUAGUAUUACUUGUAUUAGUUAUGCAUGUAUUAUUUCUUAUACAUUGUCUGGUUUGA